UUGAGAAGCAAACUGUUGAGUAAUUAUUUCUGAUUUGAGAAGUAAAUUGGUGAGUUUAUCUUUGAUUUGAGAAGCAAACUAGUGAGUAUUUAUAGGAAAUUUCGAAAGGUUUUACGACCAAUUAGCUUCGUCUCAUUCCUCGUAAAUAAAAAGGCAGGCCUCGCUAAUUCCUCGUAAAUGAACGAGGACGUUACAAGGAAACAAAACGCGGGCCUCGCUAAUUCCUCGUAAAUAAAAACACGGGCCUCACGAGUUCCUCGUUAAAGAAAAGAUGGGUUUGGGGUUUGGAAUAUAUGAAGUAGAAGAUAAGGAAGAUGAGGUUUGGGGUUUGAGGUUUCGGAUUUUAGGGAUUUAAACAUAAUCCUCGUAAUUUCUUCGUAAAAUAACGAGGAAAUAACGACGAAAUUAAAAAAUAAAGAACGCGGGAGUCGUUAAUUCCACGUAAGCAGAAAUCGUCAUAAAGACCUCGUAACCGGAAAACACGGACCUUGCUAUUUCCUCUUAAAAUAAAAACUCGGGUGUUGCUAUUUCCUCGUAAUUUAACUUGGGCUUUACGAAGAAACAAAACGCGGGCCUUUGUAAUUCCUCGUAAAUUUACGAGGAAAUUACGAAGAUAUCUAAUCUCUUAUAUAUACUCGCGAGCGCUCACACUUUCAUUUCGUCUCAACUUCCUCUCCACUUCCUCUCUAUUUCAUAGCAAUGAUAACUCUCUCUAAUUCCUCUCUAGUUUGAUUAGUUUAGGAUAGAUUAGGUGGUUAGUGU
rnacentral:lncRNA from 1 species